rnacentral:rRNA from 1 species
UUAGUGGCGAACGGGUGAGUAAUACGUGAGUAACCUACCUUUAACUCUGGGAUAAGCCUGGGAAACUGGGUCUAAUACCGGAUACGACCAAUCUCCGCAUGGGGUGUCGGUGGAAAGCGUUAUGUAGUGGUUAUAGAUGGGCUCACGGCCUAUCAGCUUGUUGGUGAGGUAACGGCUCACCAAGGCGACGACGGGUAGCCGGCCUGAGAGGGUGACCGGCCACACUGGGACUGAGACACGGCCCAG